UACGUAGGGUGCGAGCGUUAAUCGGAAUUACUGGGCGUAAAGCGUGCGCAGGCGGUGAUGUAAGACAGAUGUGAAAUCCCCGGGCUCAACCUGGGAACUGCAUUUGUGACUGCAUCGCUGGAGUGCGGCAGAGGGGGGAUGGAAUUCCGCGUGUAGCAGUGAAAUGCGUAGAUAUGCGGAGGAACACCGAUGGCGAAGGCAAUCCCCUGGGCCUGCACUGACGCUCAUGCACGAAGCGUGGGGAGCAAACAGG
rnacentral:rRNA from 1 species